UUUGGCCUGGGGAGAACCGCCUUCAGGCGUUUGGACUCAGUGGAGGUUGUGAGUGCCCAGCAGUGUGGCCUGAAUCUCCGUGGGGUUUAGGGAGACGAAAGGACCCCAGAUCGACGUCCCCUCGUUCCCACUUUGGGGAUCGGCGCUCUGGCUGUUUCGUGAAGGAGAGAGAGGUUGAUUCCAUACCCUGGCUAUUGUGAAUAAUGCUGCAGUGAACAUGGGAGUACAUACAUCUGUUUGAGGAACUCAGAGUGGUUUUCCAGAUGGGAAUCACAUUGCUCUCUGUCCCUGAGAUCUUGCUGGAGACAGGGCUACUCAGUCCCUCUUUGCCAGGUAAUCUGUUCCAGAAGAAACAUGUGUCGUUCUGACUGAGCCCCUGCCUGUCUGUCACCUUAAGAGCCAGUCAAUUCAUAUGGUCCCCAUAUCAAAGUCUCCUGUGCCCAGAGAGAGGAUUUCAUUUCAACCAUCACCAUCACCACCAUCAUCAUCAUCACCAAGAGAUGUUGUUGAAUUGAUACUGGAAAAGCAGUUUCUAUUGAGCCCCCAAAUGAAGAGUGAGUGCAGAUGAAGAGGAGGCAGGACUCACAAGCCCUUGAACUUUAUUCCAGAUCUGUUAGCACCUACAGGACCCUGCACCAGGAUUUCAUCUGUACUAUCAGCUUCUUCAAAGAGAGAGAGGUUGUUGAGCUCAGAAGUGACAAAAGAGAAUUAUCAGGAUGGCAGUCCUUAUAACCAGAUGCUUAUCAACAUUCUUCACUACAUUCUGAAGAUGAAUUUCUACAAGGGAAAUUGUUUAUAUUUGUUGUUGGGGAUAGAUAAGGAAAGAAGAAAAAGGCUCUGGUGAGAAACCCAUUGUACCUUCUGGAUAUGAUCACUACCCAAUUUUAUCAGUGUCAUUGAUCACUAACCCAGUGCCUCGUAUGGUGCCAGGCACAGAGUUACUCCAAGAAUGUACAAUAAUGGCUGGAUUCUCUUUCUCCCUGUGCAACUCUUCAUGCAUGUGACUGAACUUAUAUUAAGUGUCUGAAGGAGGUUCGUUCUGAGGAUCUGGGACAUGAUGGGUGCUGAAGCUUCUACUCAAGAUUUGAAGGGCAGCUGUCCUCAGGAGACCCCUGGCACUUCCCUCCAUGGUGGGAUGUGAUGCCUGAUUCCAGUGAGUUCAUAGAGCUGAACAAAAGUACGUUGUGGAAUAGCUCCUGUGAGGUUCACAACAUAGUCCGGAAGAUGAGAAACUACUUUUUUUAGUAACCUGGAUUCCCAUCUAAGAGAUGCCUUACUUUAUCGUAAAGCAAUGAGUUGUUCACUUGAGGAGGGAACUUCAUGUUUAACAUGUAUUUGCAACAAAUUUACAUACAUUUUCUGCCUGUAUGAAUAGUUGUCAGUGAUGCCCAUGAAUUUCUCAGAUGGAUGUUGAAGUAUACAGUUAGAAGGUUAGAAGAUCUUCCUAGCAAUCUGUGAUUACGGUAUGCAUUCUUCCAUGGUUUCUACGUUUUUGUCUAUUCUAUAAUGAAAUUUUCUAAGAAGCCAGAAAUUAAUUAAGUGCUACCUAAAAAUAUCAAAAUGUCAGGUACAAGAAUUUGGCAUUUUCAAAAUUAGUAAUUACAAUGUAAGUUUGCCCUAUUAUAAUGAUACCCAGCUAUGUCCAGUAACAUAACUAGAUUGUUCUGAAUACCGUUAUUAUUUCCCAAUAAUACAAACAUCACAAUUUCAGUUCUGUAGUACCUGGCCUACCUACCCUUCCCACUGCCUUGCCCCAGGUAAACACAGCAUGCCUGUCACUAUACAUUAUUUUACAUGCCUGGAAAUAUAUUUAAAUGGAAUCAUAGAGGUGGUUUCUUUUUUUUUUUUUUAUCAACACCUGGCUUUUUUCAUUCACUCCACUUAUUUUUAUAUUUAUCCAUUUUAUUGCAUUUAUCUAUUGAUAUACUUCAUUCUUUUUGAUUGCUAAAUACUAUUGCGGUAUACAACCACACUAAACAUUUUAUUAUCCAUCCAUUUGUCGAUGGACAUUUUGGUUGUUUCUCAUUUGGGGCUCUUGUAAAUAAAGCUGCUAUGAACAUUUGUGAAUAAGUCUUUUUGUGAAAAUAUGCAUUCUCAUUCAAGGGUCAAUACUUAGGAGUUCAAUCUCUGGAUCAUGUGGUAGA
rnacentral:lncRNA from 10 species